ACUUGUACAUGUUGCUCUACAUUAUGUAUACAUGAACAUGACAACAUGCAUUGUAUCAACUGAGUGACAUUAUGUGUUUUGUGAACUUUAUUAAUAUAAGGUGAUUGGACUUGUUGAUUUGUCUUUUUCAGGUCAUGUCUAACUCCAUCAGCAUUCAUGUCAGUCAUGGAUCAAAGGUAGAUGAUAUAUUACUGGAGGAUCCUGAUAGCACUAGCAUUGGCAACUUGAAAAUUAUUAUUUUUGAAAAGUUUGGAGCUACUAGUUCCUAUCGAAGCACAUAUGCUAAUAUUUAAAGGUACCUUCUGCCACAGAAACUCAUGUGAGAGGAAAGAGAAGACACUAGUGGGACUCAUUCAAUCAUUAAUGGUACACUAACUGAUAAGUUGACUCAUGAAAGGAGUCCUACAUUACUGAACUAAAGAAUAAUAAAAUUUUGC